GAUGAACGCUGGCGGCGUGCCUAAUACAUGCAAGUCGAGCGAACAGACGAGGAGCUUGCUCCUCUGACGUUAGCGGCGGACGGGUGAGUAACACGUGGAUAACCUACCUAUAAGACUGGGAUAACUUCGGGAAACCGGAGCUAAUACCGGAUAAUAUAUUGAACCGCAUGGUUCAAUAGUGAAAGACGGUUUUGCUGUCACUUAUAGAUGGAUCCGCGCCGCAUUAGCUAGUUGGUAAGGUAACGGCUUACCAAGGCGACGAUGCGUAGCCGACCUGAGAGGGUGAUCGGCCACACUGGAACUGAGACACGGUCCAGACUCCUACGGGAGGCAGCAGUAGGGAAUCUUCCGCAAUGGGCGAAAGCCUGACGGAGCAACGCCGCGUGAGUGAUGAAGGUCUUCGGAUCGUAAAACUCUGUUAUUAGGGAAGAACAAAUGUGUAAGUAACUAUGCACGUCUUGACGGUACCUAAUCAGAAAGCCACGGCUAACCACGUG
rnacentral:rRNA from 1 species